UACUCGUGACACGUCAUCAGCCUCAGCCUGAGUACCGUUCCAAUUCUCCAGAACGCCAGAUCAAGAACGCACCAAAUCCCCGGAUGUUGUUCUCCCCCCCGCCCUCUUUAUCGAGCAUGCAUCAGAGCAGACUUGUGCGUUCUUCAGACUGACCGCUUUCCCAGAAUGCCACAGAAGGCCACAGCUUCAUUCGAGACAGCGCUCACAGUGUGAUUUUGUGAGAGCCUCUGGCCUGCAGGUCACAGCAAAGCAGGCCAAGAAGAAGUGGCACAAUUUGGUGCAAAAAUACAAGGAAACCCGUCUAAAGUCUGGAAGCUCUGGAUGACCUUUGCAUGUAAACCUGCCUGCCUGCCCAAGGGAGCCAAACCUGAAGAUUUCAAUCUGGACUCCUCCUGCUGCUCUCAAGGAAGAGCUGGAAA